rnacentral:rRNA from 1 species
UGAGGGCUUGCUUUCAGGGGAAAGUGGCGAAAGGGGCAGUAAGGCGUGGGUAACCUACCCUGGGGUCCAGCAUAGCCGUCCUAACGGACGGGUAAUUCUGGGCGACGUAACGCGAUCGCCUGACCGUGUUACCAAAGGUUUACCGCCCUGGGAGGGGCCCACGUGGUAUUAGCUUGUUGGUGAGGUAACGGCUCACCAAGGCCAAGAUGCCUAGCGGGUGUGAGAGCACGACCCGCGCCACUGGCACUGAGACACUGGCCAGACUCCUACGGGAGGCUGCAGUCGAGGAUCUUCGGCAAUGGGCGCAAGCCUGACCGAGCGACGCCGCGUGUGCGAUGAAGGCCUUCGGGUUGUAAAGCACUGUCGAGGGGGAGGAAAGCCCGCAAGGGUCUGACCUAUCCCUGGAGGAAGCACGGGCUAAGUUCGUGCCAGCAGCCGCGGUAAGACGAACCGUGCGAACGUUGUUCGGAUUCACUGGGCUUAAAGGGCGCGUAGGCGGGUUCUCAAGUCCGGGGUGAAAUCCUCUCGCUUAACGAGAGAACUGCCCUGGAUACUGGGGACCUCGAGGGAGGUAGGGGCAUGUGGAACUUCCGGUGGAGCGGUGAAAUGCGUAGAUAUCGGAAGGAACGCCGGUGGCGAAAGCGACGUGCUGGACCUUUUCUGACGCUGAGGCGCGAAAGCCAGGGGAGCAAACGGGAUUAGAUACCCCGGUAGUCCUGGCCCUAAACGAUGGGUACUAGAUUGGAGACUGACAUGGGUUUCCAAUCGAAGCAAAAGUGUUAAGUACCCCGCCUGGGGAGUAUGGUCGCAAGGCUGAAACUCAAAGGAAUUGACGGGGGGCUCACACAAGCGGUGGAGCAUGUGGCUUAAUUCGAGGCUACGCGAAGAACCUUAUCCUGGGCUUGACAUGUCC